AUUGAACGCUGGCGGCAUGCCUUACACAUGCAAGUCGAACGGCAGCACGGGAGCAACCCUGGUGGCGAGUGGCGAACGGGUGAGUAAAGUAUCGGAACGUGCCCAGUCGUGGGGGAUAACGUAGCGAAAGUUACGCUAAUACCGCAUACGAUCUAUGGAUGAAAGCGGGGGAUCGCAAGACCUCGCCCGAUUGGAGCGGCCGAUAGCAGAUUAGGUAGUUGGUGGGGUAAAGGCUCACCAAGCCGACGAUCUGUAGCUGGUCUGAGAGGACGACCAGCCACACUGGGACUGAGACACGGCCCAGACUCCUACGGGAGGCAGCAGUGGGGAAUUUUGGACAAUGGGCGAAAGCCUGAUCCAGCCAUGCCGCGUGCAGGAUGAAGGCCUUCGGGUUGUAAACUGCUUUUGUACGGAACGAAAAGGUUUGGCCUAAUAAGCUGAGCUCAUGACGGUACCGUAAGAAUAAGCACCGGCUAACUACGUGCCAGCCGCCGCAGUAA
rnacentral:rRNA from 1 species